rnacentral:rRNA from 1 species
GUGUCAGCAGCCGCGGUAAUACGUAGGGUGCGAGCGUUGCCCGGAUUUAUUGGGCGUAAAGGGCGCGCAGGCGGUUCGGCACGUCCGUUGUGAAAUCGCCCGGCUCAACUGGGCGGGGUCAGCGGAUACGGCCGAACUUGAGCAAGCUAGGGGGCAAUGGAAUUCCCGGUGUAGUGGUGGAAUGCGUAGAUAUCGGGAGGAACACCAGUGGCGAAGGCGGUUGCCUGGAGCUUUGCUGACGCUGAGGCGCGAAAGCGUGGGGAGCGAUCCGGAUUAGAAACCCGUGUAGUCC